UUUUAGUCAAUGUGAAACCCCCAAGCGGGAAAACGUCUCCGAAAAGAUUCCUUCAUCUGCUCCAGAUGCCUCAUCUGAUGCAGUUUCCUGUCUAGGGGUUGGUCACAACUCCCCUGGUCCUGUGAAUCCAGAUGAUGUGGAGUUGGGGUAAGUUUAAGGAAUCUGACACCCCCUUCAGGAGACCACUGAGGCUCCUGCUGUUUCUCCCCCUCCCUUCAUUCUACCAAUAACAUGCCCAUCAGAAGGAUACUGGUUGACUUCGAGGGAGGAGUUCCUAUUGGUCACCUCCACCUAUAUAAAGAGACUUCGGAUGAUGUUCGGGAGGUCCCCAGGGUCUGCUGGGCCCUUACUAUUUUGGGAGAUCCACAGGGUUCACGGAGAUCUGCAAGGAGCUCCGUUGGGGAUCUCAUUCGUGUGUCUUGCUGCUUUGUGUGAUAGACCCUUUGUUGUGAGCCUGGUAGCUUUAUGUGCCUUUUUCAUUAACUUUUGUGCGUGUUUGAGAAAAUCCCUUCCUUUAGGCUGAUAAAUGGGGGAUUGUCGUCCGGGAUGUUUUCCCCUGGUUCGGUGUUUGUGAUCAGAGUCUUAUAUCCGCUACUCCAGGUGGGGGGACGUCGUCACACGGACAGCCUCGGCUUGAGUCUGACUGGGGUGACGUUCGGCCUUCAACCCUCCGAAGAUCUGAAGCCGACCCACCCAGUCUCUCACUCUCGACUUCCUUCUUGUACAAAUGGAGAUGCGUUUGCUCAACGACCCAACUGUGCUCGUGCACUAAUGGUGCUCGUGCACUAA
rnacentral:lncRNA from 1 species